rnacentral:snRNA from 1 species
GAGGAAGAUCUUCAGCAGACCUU